CCAAACUGCCGACUACCGAAGAGGGAUCGCGCCGGGGAAAUGGGGAUGUUGUUGUGUGCUUGUUGCUGUGUUGAAGGGGGAAGGCCGACGCACGGCAGGUCGUGCCGACAAAGGGGGAAGGCCGAUUGCGGCCUGACCAAGAGGGAAGGGAAAGCCCGAUUGCAGCCUAGCCGAGGGCGAAGGGGAAAUGCCGAUUUUGGCCUAGCCAAGAGGGAGGGCCGAAUGGUCGAUUGUUGAAGGGACCCAGGUGGAUGACGUGAGGACGAAUGAAGGAACAACGUCGCGCCGGUGGAAGACGACGGAAAUGGG
rnacentral:lncRNA from 1 species